GACGAACGCUGGCGGCGUGCUUAACACAUGCAAGUCGAACGGAAAGGCCUGUCCUUCCUUGUGUUGGACGGGUGCUCGAGUGGCGAACGGGUGAGUAACACGUGAGUGAUCUGCCCCCAACUUGGGUAUAAGCCUGGGAAACUGGGUCUAAUUCCCGAUAGGACUGCAGGGUGGUGCCUGUGGUGGAAAACGAUUUUCUAGUGGUUGGGGAUGAGCUCGCGGCCUAUCAGCUUGUUGGUGGGGUAAUGGCCUACCAAGGCGGCGACGGGUAGCCGGCCUGAGAGGGUGGACGGCCACAUUGGGACUGAGAUACGGCCCAGACUCCUACGGGAGGCAGCAGUGGGGAAUAUUGCACAAUGGGCGGAAGCCUGAUGCAGCGACGCCGCGUGGGGGAUGACGGCCUUCGGGUUGUAAACUCCUUUCGACCGCGAGGAAGCCGCCUGGUUGGAAGGGUGGUGACGGUAGUGGUAGAAGAAGCACCGGCUAACUACGUG
rnacentral:rRNA from 1 species